rnacentral:misc_RNA from 1 species
GCCAUGCCUGAAUGCUUCACACAGAAUUUUGUUGAUCAUUUGCAUCAGACCUUCAAUGGACCUCAGCUGGCAGCAAUACAAUGGGCUGCAAUGCAUACAGCUGCUGGUACAAGUAGUGGUACGACAAAGAGGCAAGAUCCAUGGCCCUUUACUCUUGUUCAAGGGCCUCCCGGAACAGGUAAGACACACACAGUCUGGGGAAUGCUAAAUGUCAUCCAUUUGGUCCAAUAUCAGCAUUACUACACUUCUUUGCUUAAGAAACUAGCACCCCAGAGCUACAAGCAAUCCAAUGAGAGCAAUUCUAACAACAUUACAAUAGGUUCAAUUGACGAAGUUCUUCAUAACAUGGACCAGAAUCUCUUCCACUCUCUUUCAAAGCUCUGUCCAAAGCCCAGAAUGUUAGUUUGUGCUCCUUCUAAUGCUGCAACAGA